GUGCUCUCUUUGGCAGCACAUAUAGUAAAAUUGAAACCGUACAGAGAAGAUUAGUAUGGCCUCUGUGCAAGAAUAACACAAAUUCAUGAAGUGUUCAACAUUUUU